GACGAACGCUGGCGGCGUGCCUAAUACAUGCAAGUAGAACGCUGAAGGAGGAGCUUGCUCUUCUGGAUGAGUUGCGAACGGGUGAGUAACGCGUAGGUAACCUGCCUGGUAGCGGGGGAUAACUGUUGGAAACGAUAGCUAAUACCGCAUAAGAGUAGAUGUUGCAUGACAUUUGCUUAAAAGGUGCAAUUGCAUCACUACCAGAUGGACCUGCGUUGUAUUAGCUAGUUGGUGGGGUAACGGCUCACCAAGGCGACGAUACAUAGCCGACCUGAGAGGGUGAUCGGCCACACUGGGACUGAGACACGGCCCAGACUCCUACGGGAGGCAGCAGUAGGGAAUCUUCGGCAAUGGACGGAAGUCUGACCGAGCAACGCCGCGUGAGUGAAGAAGGUUUUCGGAUCGUAAAGCUCUGUUGUAAGAGAAGAACGAGUGUGAGAGUGGAAAGUUCACACUGUGACGGUAUCUUACCAGAAAGGGACGGCUAACUACGUG
rnacentral:rRNA from 1 species